rnacentral:rRNA from 1 species
UACGAAGGGGGCUAGCGUUGCUCGGAAUGACUGGGCGUAAAGGGCGCGUAGGCGGUUCGUACAGUCAGACGUGAAAUUCCUGGGCUCAACCUGGGGGCUGCGUUUGAUACGUGCGGACUUGAGUGCGGAAGAGGGUCGUGGAAUUCCCAGUGUAGAGGUGAAAUUCGUAGAUAUUGGGAAGAACACCGGUGGCGAAGGCGGCGACCUGGUCCGAUACUGACGCUGAGGCGCGAAAGCGUGGGGAGCAAACAGG